GGCGAGUGAGCGGCAAAAGCUCAAAUUUGAAAUCUGGUACCUUUGGUGCCCGAGUUGUAAUUUGGAGAGUACCACUUUGGGACUGUACUUUGCCUAUGUUCCUUGGAACAGGACGUCAUGGAGGGUGAGAAUCCCGUGUGGCGAGGGUGUCAGUUCUUUGUAAAGGGUGCUCGAAGAGUCGAGUUGUUUGGGAAUGCAGCUCUAAGUGGGUGGUAAAUUCCAUCUAAAGCUAAAUACAGGCGAGAGACCGAUAGCGAACAAGUACAGUGAUGGAAAGAUGAAAAGAACUUUGAAAAGAGAGUGAAAAAGUACGUGAAAUUGUUGAAAGGGAAGGGCAUUUGAUCAGACAUGGUGUUUUGCGCCCCUUGCCUCUCGUGGGCUUGGGACUCUCGCAGCUCACUGGGCCAGCAUCGGUUUUGGCGGCCGGAAAAAACCUAGGGAAUGUGGCUCUGCGCCUCGGUGUAGAGUGUUAUAGCCCUGGGGAAUACGGCCAGCCGGGACCGAGGACUGCGAUACUUGUUAUCUAGGAUGCUGGCAUAAUGGUUAUAUGCCGCCCGU
rnacentral:rRNA from 1 species